rnacentral:snRNA from 1 species
ACAUUUUUGGGGCCGUGUAUACAAAAAUUAGAAUGAUACAGAGAAAAUUAGCCUAGCCCUUUUGCAAGAAGGAAAAGAAAAGAGUGGGGUGGAAAAAAGCUCU